GUGCCCAGUCUCCUUAAGGGGCGGGGGAGGGGGAGGGGAUCCAAGGUCAAGGAGGCUCCAGGGACAAAAUAUCGGUCAAAUCGGGAAUUUCCACCACCCGCUUCCUAGCCUUAUCCUUAUAAGUAAAUACAACGUGACUAACUUCCCCAGUGGACAAAUAUUCUCUGGUUCGAUUCCCAGCUUCUGGGAAUCCGCAACCUUCCUGUUCUUAAAAAGCAGAAUUUCUCCUCUAGACUAAAUAAAUGACGUUACCAAAACGCCUCAUUCCCAAAGUGUUUUUGCGUUUCCCACCACGAGGGCACAGCUACACAGGCUGCUGUGGGGGAGUAACCUAAACCCUGCCAUAAAUGGGGGUGCUCCAAAGGACCUAAGCUUAGGUUUGUUGGUGUCAGAAAGGUCCAGGGAUGCCACUGACAAUCAAAGAGACCUAAUAACUGUACUACAGGAUGGUCUGUUUUAAAUGGAAAGAAUAGUAAAAAUGUUGCUCUCCAUAUCUGGUUCACAUUCUAGGCCUACUGAUGACCUCUGUGCCACAAGCUAUGAUCCCAGAGAAGAGAUAUUUGGGAGAGUGGGGGGCUCAAAAAACCAGCCACCAUGUCAGAAGGACACUCAAGUAGCACAUGGAGGGCCCACAUGGUGAGAAACAGGCCUCUGGCCCCAGCACCGUUGAAGCCUUCUGCCAGUGAAAACCAGAGGAGCUUAGCAGGAGAUUCUACAGUCUAGUUAAGCCUUCAGAUGACUGCAGUUCUGGAUGACACUUUGACUGCAACCUCAUGGGAGACCGCAGCAUGAGGUUAAGCCUCUUGCUGUGGUUAUCAGAGAGCUUCGAAUUGCCAAACCAGUUACCAUUUUUCAGUCCUUACCCUACCUGACCUCAUGGUUAUGGAGCAAUGUUAAAUAAGUACAUGACUGUG